rnacentral:rRNA from 1 species
ACAGUGGACGCGAGCAUCUGUGGCCAAGUUUUUAAGGGCGCACGGUGGAUGCCUUGGCACCAGGAACCGAUGAAGGACGUGGGAGGCCACGAUAGUCCCCGGGGAGUCGUCAACCAGGCUUUGAUCCGGGGGUUUCCGAAUGGGGAAACCCGGCAGUCGUCAUGGGCUGUCACCCGCUGCUGAACACAUAGGCAGUGUGGAGGGAACGAGGGGAAGUGAAACAUCUCAGUACCCUCAGGAAGAGAAAACAACCGUGAUUCCGGGAGUAGUGGCGAGCGAAACCGGAUGAGGCCAAACCGUAUGCGUGUGAGACCCGGCAGGGGUUGCGCAUGCGGGGUUGUGGGAUCUCUCUUUCACAGUCUGCCGGCUGUGAGACGAGUCAGAAACCGUUGAUGUAGGCGAAGGACAUGCGAAAGGUCCGGCGUAGAGGGUAAGACCCCCGUAGUCGAAACGUCAGCGGCUCGUUUGAGAGACACCCAAGUAGCACGGGGCCCGAGAAAUCCCGUGUGAAUCUGGCGGGACCACCCGCUAAGCCUAAAUAUUCCCUGGUGACCGAUAGCGGAUAGUACCGUGAGGGAAUGGUGAAAAGUACCGCGGGAGCGGAGUGAAAUAGUACCUGAAACCGUGUGCCUACAAGCCGUGGGAGCGUCGGAACAAGGCUUGCCUUGUUCUCGUGACUGCGUGCCUUUUGAAGAAUGAGCCUGCGAGUUUGCGGUGUGUUGCGAGGUUAACCCGGGUGGGGAAGCCGUAGCGAAAGCGAGUCCGAAUAGGGCGAUUUUAGUAGCACGCUCAAGACCCGAAGCGGAGUGAUCUAGCCAUGGGCAGGUUGAAGCGGAGGUAAGACUUCGUGGAGGACCGAACCCACCAGGGUUGAAAACCUGGGGGAUGACCUGUGGUUAGGGGUGAAAGGCCAAUCAAACUCCGUGAUAGCUGGUUCUCCCCGAAAUGCAUUUAGGUGCAGCGUCGUGUGUUUCUUGCCGGAGGUAGAGCACUGGAUAGGCGAUGGGCCCUACCGGGUUACUGACCUUAGCCAAACUCCGAAUGCCGGUAAGUGAGAGCGCGGCAGUGAGACUGUGGGGGAUAAGCUCCAUGGUCGAGAGGGAAACAGCCCAGAGCAUCGACUAAGGCCCCUAAGCGUACGCUAAGUGGGAAAGGAUGUGGAGUCGCACAGACAACCAGGAGGUUGGCUUAGAAGCAGCCACCCUUGAAAGAGUGCGUAAUAGCUCACUGGUCUAGUGAUUCCGCGCCGACAAUGUAGCGGGGCUCAAGCGUACCGCCGAAGUCGUGUCAUUCAUACAAUAGGGCCAACGCCUGUAUGGAUGGGUAGGGGAGCGUCGUCUGCCGGGUGAAGCGGCACUGGAAGGUAGUCGUGGACGGUUGACGAGUGAGAAUGCAGGCAUGAGUAGCGAUACAAACGUGAGAAACGUUUGCGCCGAUUGACUAAGGGUUCCUGGGUCAAGCUGAUCUGCCCAGGGUAAGUCGGGACCUAAGGCGAGGCCGACAGGCGUAGUCGAUGGAUAACCGGUUGAUAUUCCGGUACCCGCUGUGAAGCGUCAAACAUCGAGCAUCGUGAUGCUAAGGCCGUGAAGCCGUUCCGGACCCUUCGGGGAAAGGAAAGUGGUGGAGCCGCCGGCCCAAGCGGUUAGUAGGUGAGUGAUGGGGUGACGCAGGAAGGUAGUCCAUCCCGGGCGGUGGUUGUCCCGGGGUAAGGGUGUAGGACGUCAGGUAGGUAAAUCCGCCUGGCAUAUAGUCUGAGACCUGAUGCCGAGCCGAUUGUGGUGAAGUGGAUGAUCCUAUGCUGUCGAGAAAAGCCUCUAGCGAGUUUCAUGGCGGCCCGUACCCUAAACCGACUCAGGUGGUCAGGUAGAGAAUACCGAGGCGUUCGGGUGAACUAUGGUUAAGGAACUCGGCAAAAUGCCCCCGUAACUUCGGGAGAAGGGGGGCCAUGUCUGGUGAUGAGCUUUGCGCUCUGAGCUGGGUGUGGCCGCAGAGACCAGCGAGAAGCGACUGUUUACUAAAAACACAGGUCCGUGCGAAGCCGUAAGGCGAUGUAUACGGACUGACGCCUGCCCGGUGCUGGAACGUUAAGGGGACCGGUUAGCUCUGUUUCGACAGGGCGAAGCUGAGAACUUAAGCGCCAGUAAACGGCGGUGGUAACUAUAACCAUCCUAAGGUAGCGAAAUUCCUUGUCGGGUAAGUUCCGACCUGCACGAAUGGCGUAACGACUUCUCGACUGUCUCAACCAUAGGCCCGGUGAAAUUGCACUACGAGUAAAGAUGCUCGUUUCGCGCAGCAGGACGGAAAGACCCCGGGACCUUUACUACAGUUUGAUAUUGGUGUUCGGUUCGGCUUGUGUAGGAUAGCUGGGAGACUUUGAAGCAGGCACGCCAGUGUUUGUGGAGUCGUCGUUGAAAUACCAGUCUGGUCGUGCUGGAUGUCUAACCUGGGUCCGUGAUCCGGAUCAGGGACAGUGUCUGAUGGGUAGUUUAACUGGGGCGGUUGCCUCCUAAAGAGUAACGGAGGCGCCCAAAGGUUCCCUCAGCCUGGUUGGCAAUCAGGUGUUGAGUGUAAGUGCACAAGGGAGCUUGACUGUGAGACCGACGGGUCGAGCAGGGACGAAAGUCGGGACUAGUGAUCCGGCGGUGGCUUGUGGAAGCGCCGUCGCUCAACGGAUAAAAGGUACCCCGGGGAUAACAGGCUGAUCUUCCCCAAGAGUCCAUAUCGACGGGAUGGUUUGGCACCUCGAUGUCGGCUCGUCGCAUCCUGGGGCUGGAGUCGGUCCCAAGGGUUGGGCUGUUCGCCCAUUAAAGCGGUACGCGAGCUGGGUUUAGAACGUCGUGAGACAGUUCGGUCCCUAUCCGCUGUGCGCGUAGGAAUAUUGAGAAGGGCUGUCCCUAGUACGAGAGGACCGGGACGGACGAACCUCUGGUGUGCCAGUUGUUCUGCCAAGGGCAUGGCUGGUUGGCUACGUUCGGGAGGGAUAACCGCUGAAAGCAUCUAAGCGGGAAGCCUGCUUCGAGAUGAGUAUUCCCACCUCCUUGAGAGGGUAAGGCUCCCAGUAGACGACUGGGUUGAUAGGCCGGAUCUGGAAGCCAGGUAACUGGUGGAGGUGACCGGUACUAAUAGGCCGAGGGCUUGUCCUCAGUUG